UACGUAGGGCGCAAGCGUUAUCCGGAAUUAUUGGGCGUAAAGAGCUCGUAGGCGGUUUGUCGCGUCUGCCGUGAAAGUCCGGGGCUCAACUCCGGAUCUGCGGUGGGUACGGGCAGACUAGAGUGAUGUAGGGGAGACUGGAAUUCCUGGUGUAGCGGUGAAAUGCGUAGAUAUUGGGAGGAACACCAGUGGCGAAGGCGGCUCACUGGACCGGAACUGACGCUGAGGCGCGAAAGCGUGGGUAGCAAACAGG
rnacentral:rRNA from 1 species